UCCAGAGUUUGAUCAUGGCUCAGAUUGAACGCUGGCGGCAGGCCUAACACAUGCAAGUCGAGCGGUAGCACAGAGAGCUUGCUCUCGGGUGACGAGCGGCGGACGGGUGAGUAAUGUCUGGGAAACUGCCUGAUGGAGGGGGAUAACUACUGGAAACGGUAGCUAAUACCGCAUAACGUCGCAAGACCAAAGUGGGGGACCUUCGGGCCUCAUGCCAUCAGAUGUGCCCAGAUGGGAUUAGCUAGUAGGUGGGGUAACGGCUCACCUAGGCGACGAUCCCUAGCUGGUCUGAGAGGAUGACCAGCCACACUGGAACUGAGACACGGUCCAGACUCCUACGGGAGGCAGCAGUGGGGAAUAUUGCACAAUGGGCGCAAGCCUGAUGCAGCCAUGCCGCGUGUAUGAAGAAGGCCUUCGGGUUGUAAAGUACUUUCAGCGGGGAGGAAGGCGAUAAGGUUAAUAACCUUGUCGAUUGACGUUACCCGCAGAAGAAGCACCGGCUAACUCCGUGCCAGCAGCCGCGGUAAUACGGAGGGUGCAAGCGUUAAUCGGAAUUACUGGGCGUAAAGCGCACGCAGGCGGUCUGUCAAGUCGGAUGUGAAAUCCCCGGGCUCAACCUGGGAACUGCAUUCGAAACUGGCAGGCUAGAGUCUUGUAGAGGGGGGUAGAAUUCCAGGUGUAGCGGUGAAAUGCGUAGAGAUCUGGAGGAAUACCGGUGGCGAAGGCGGCCCCCUGGACAAAGACUGACGCUCAGGUGCGAAAGCGUGGGGAGCAAACAGGAUUAGAUACCCUGGUAGUCCACGCCGUAAACGAUGUCGAUUUGGAGGUUGUGCCCUUGAGGCGUGGCUUCCGGAGCUAACGCGUUAAAUCGACCGCCUGGGGAGUACGGCCGCAAGGUUAAAACUCAAAUGAAUUGACGGGGGCCCGCACAAGCGGUGGAGCAUGUGGUUUAAUUCGAUGCAACGCGAAGAACCUUACCUGGUCUUGACAUCCACAGAACUUAGCAGAGAUGCUUUGGUGCCUUCGGGAACUGUGAGACAGGUGCUGCAUGGCUGUCGUCAGCUCGUGUUGUGAAAUGUUGGGUUAAGUCCCGCAACGAGCGCAACCCUUAUCCUUUGUUGCCAGCGGUUCGGCCGGGAACUCAAAGGAGACUGCCAGUGAUAAACUGGAGGAAGGUGGGGAUGACGUCAAGUCAUCAUGGCCCUUACGACCAGGGCUACACACGUGCUACAAUGGCAUAUACAAAGAGAAGCGACCUCGCGAGAGCAAGCGGACCUCAUAAAGUAUGUCGUAGUCCGGAUUGGAGUCUGCAACUCGACUCCAUGAAGUCGGAAUCGCUAGUAAUCGUAGAUCAGAAUGCUACGGUGAAUACGUUCCCGGGCC
rnacentral:rRNA from 1 species